UGAACGCAGCCCAGUGAGACCUCCACCUUCUGCUCCCAUGUUCACCUUUCACAUCUAUGCUGUGCUGGACAAAAAGUUCAGGUUCAACCAAAAGCAUGACACACUUUUGCUGUGUUAUGAUGGAGGGUAUUUACCCUUUGAAAUGACCCAUUUUGUGUGAGUAUUGAUUUUGUAUAAGCUGUAAUACACAGAAUGUAUUAGUACAGUGAUAUGAUUUUCACUUUACUGUAGCUUGUCAUUAUAACAAAUGUUAAAUAUAUUAUGUUUAGUGGACUAAAAGAAGGAAGGUAUCUGGUAGAAGCAAGUCUUUCCAUUGAAGAAAGUCACCUGCAGAGAGGCAUUGUGUGGAGUUAUUGGUAUGGUGUAAAGCAACGACAGAAGAAAGAGAUCACAGGAAUUGCCAGAAGACACAUUGAAAUUCCAUUUGACUCAAAAAUCAAAGAGUUGCAUGUUUACGAGGGAUACAUUUGUCGUCUGGAGCAAGGUUGGUUGCAAACUGGCCUUCACAUGGUCGGCUUGAGUAGAUCAAAAGGUGUGGAGGUAUCAGACGCCUGGCUGGCCUCAGCGAGAGAUCUGCUAAACAGAAUCUUCCAGAAAUGGCACCCAUCAGACAAACAGAGCACAGAGUACUUGUCUGACCACUUGGUGAAUUUUAUAUGGAGUCUCAGUUCUGCACAUACAAGGGUGACAUUCCCAGACAAUUCCCGACCUCCCACGAUCCCGACAUCAGAGCUGAUUUCAGAGACUUUAGUUCAGAUCUUAAAAGGAGAACCAAAGGAGAAAUUCCCAAGCAGCUGGAGGAGCACCAGUCCUCUUGUUCUGGGCCUGUCUGUUUUCAUGGUUACCAGAAAGUGUGACAUCAACCUUGGAGUGAAAGGCUGGGCUGAUCUGUGUCGCCUGGUGUCCUCAGAGACUGCAAUGGAGAAGAAAAACCUGGAAGGGUUGCACAGUUGUUUCCAGAAUCUACAAUUUACUGUGUUGGCUCUGAUGAACAUCUGUGCGCAGCAGUCGGUGUUGGAGCUCGUCCUGCUCGUUCCUCUGCUCUUCAGACUCAGGCAGCCAGGAGCAGAUGCAGCAAAAGUGGGCCCAACUGUCGAGGAGGAGAACUGGUCAGGACUUGAAAAUGUCCAGUUCAGCAGGUUUAGGGAGAGCAUACAGUUCCACCCUGACAAAAGAAAGUGA
rnacentral:lncRNA from 15 species